GCCUGGCUGGCUCAGUCGAUAGAGCAUGUGAUUCUUGAUCUCAGGGGUGUGAGUUCAAGCCCCACGUUGGGUG
rnacentral:tRNA from 1 species